AUUGAACGCUGGCGGCAGGCCUAACACAUGCAAGUCGAGCGGUAGAGAGGUGCUUGCACCUCUUGAGAGCGGCGGACGGGUGAGUAAUGCCUAGGGAUCUGCCUGGUAGUGGGGGAUAACGCUCGGAAACGGACGCUAAUACCGCAUACGUCCUACGGGAGAAAGCAGGGGACCUUCGGGUCUUGCGCUAUCAGAUGAGCCUAGGUCGGAUUAGCUAGUUGGUGGGGUAAUGGCUCACCAAGGCGACGAUCCGUAACUGGUCUGAGAGGAUGAGCAGACACACUGGAACUGAGACGCGGUCCAGACUCCUACGGGAGGCAGCAGUGGGGAAUAUUGGACAAUGGGCGAAAGCCUGAUCCAGCCAUGCCGCGGGUGUGAAGAAGGUCUUCGGGUUGUAAAGCACUUUAAGUUGGGAGGAAGGGUCGUUACCUAAUACGUGACGAUUUUGACGUUACCGACAGAAUAAGCACCGGCUAACUCUGUGCCAGCCGCCGCAGUAAAAC
rnacentral:rRNA from 1 species